UUGGAGGGCAAGUCUGGUGCCAGCAGCCGCGGUAAUUCCAGCUCCAAUAGCGUAUAUUAAAGUUGUUGCAGUUAAAAAGCUCGUAGUUGAAUUUCGGGGUUAGUAGGUUGGUCGUGCCUCAGGUAUGUACUGAUCUCACUGAUUCCUCCUUCCUGAUGAACCGUAAUGCCAUUAAUUUGGUGUUGCGGGGAAACUGGACUGUUACUUUGAAAAAAUUAGAGUGUUUAAAGCAGGCUAACGCUUGAAUACAUUAGCAUGGAAUAAUGAAAUAGGACGUUCGACCCUAUUUUGUUGGUUUCUAGGAUUGACGUAAUGAUUAAUAGGGAUAGUUGGGGGCAUUAGUAUUCAAUUGUCAGAGGUGAAAUUCUUGGUUUUAUUGAAGACUAACUACUGCGAAAGCAUUUGCCAAGGAUGUUUUCAUUAAUCAAGAACGAAAGUUAGGGGAUCGAAGACGAUCAGAUACCGUCGUAGUCUUAACCAUAAACUAUGCCGACUAGGGAUCGGAUGAUGUUAAUUUUUUAAUGACUCAUUCGGCGCCUUACGGGAAA
rnacentral:rRNA from 1 species